AAAAAGAGUUUUUCGUUUCUAACAUUUGACCGUCCGUCUUAUUUAAAAAAAUUAUAAAAAAAAUAAAAAUACAAGUCACGUAUAAAAUAUUAAUCAUGUUUUAUCAUCUAACAAUAAUAAAAAUAUAAAUUAUAAAAAAAAUUUAUAUAAGACGGAUAGUUAAAAUUGGACAUGGAAAUUCAGUGUUUACUUUUUU
rfam:Oryza sativa (indica cultivar-group) chromosome 2, whole genome shotgun sequence.